UCAGAAUUUUGUUAAAAUCUUUAGCAAAUUUUUUAAGGUUAACAUCGUUCCAUAAGUUUUCUAUUAGAUUAAAGUCAGGGCUUAACACUGGCUCAAUACAUUCAAUAUUUUACGUUUAAAGUGAAUAAAAUUGUAAAUUUAUUUUAAAGUUUAUGUUAAGUGAAUUUUCGGGUAAAUAAUAACAAAUUAUGGAGAAAAGUGACACAGACUCCGAGUAUCAAAGCGGUGCUUUAGGACCACCAACUAAGAAGAAAUUACGUGCGGAAAUUGUGCAUAAAAAGUGUGUGACAACAGAUUCAAGACAAGAUUUUAAACCUAGUGAGACCCAAUCAAUUGAUAAUGAAUCACGAAGAGGUUUACCAUUACAAAUAAUUGGUGACAUCGUGAUUGAACAUGGCAAUAAUCAAAUGGAAGUUAAUGAUGGAAAUCUCACUAUAGAUCAUGUACAAAAACCGAGACAAAUGAUUGAAGUUAGGUACAUUAAUUUCGAUUUUACUUUUAUGAUCAUUCAUGACUCUAACAAUAAUUUACCACAUUUACACAACUGAAAUUAUGGAAUUAUAGGUUGAAUAAAGCGCCAAAAACUUCUGCAGAACGUGGUCGAGAAUUCAGAGCACGAAAAGCACUGCUUAAAAAACAAUGUAAGCAACAACAGGAACCAGAUGCAAUAGUUGAAAUUGCUAUGAUACCUCGAAUAUAGUAACUUCGAACAUGGACAUUCUAUUACGACAUAUUCGUGAAGUUGAUAUUUUUCAGUCAUCAAUUGGUGAUAUAUGUGCUGCUCACUGUGUUUUGGACGAUGGAACAAACAUCAUAAUGAAGACUUAUGAUUUAUGGUCGAGUAGGUUCUGAAGAACUAGGAGAAAACUAUCAUACGUUGCCACUAAUCUUAGCAGGAGAUUUCAAUAUCAAUUUCAUCCGAAGAUGGACAACUCUUGAUAAACUUUCUACGAGAUAAAUUAGAAUUACAAAUGAAUAAUGACCGUAAUGAGCCAACUACAAGACAUGGACCAACAAUCGAUGCAGUUUUUUCUAGAUUUCGGUCUAAUUUUAAUUCUAAAAUAUAUGUAUCGUAUUUCUCGUAUCAUAAGCCUAUU
rnacentral:misc_RNA from 1 species